UUAUUGGUGGUUCAGUGGUAUAAUUCUCACCUUCCACGUGGGAGGCCCCGGUUCAAUUCCUGGCUAGUGCA
rnacentral:tRNA from 1 species